rnacentral:lncRNA from 1 species
UUUUCAACAGAGAUUAAAAAACUAACAAACAACAGCAGUGACAUUGCACAAAGUAACUAUUUUGUCCUUUAGGAAGGAAGUUUACGUUAGAGAAGGCAGUACAGUCUUCAGUCAUCCCUGAAAGUAUUUUAGGCAGUGUUGUGUCCAAAAGCAAAACUCUGACAUUUUGCAAAGAUUCCCUGGAAGGUCUGCCUGCCCAGCAACAAAUUAAUAUCAGACUGACAGAGGCUCCAGGGUGUGCGGUUCUGCGUGCUCUGGCUCAGCCCCAGCGUGCCCUUAGCUCUACCAACAUGCUAUAUGCAACAAAGUACAGAGAUGGACUGUAG